rnacentral:rRNA from 1 species
GGCCUACCAUGGUGGUAACGGGUAACGGGGUGUUAGGGCACGACACCGGAGAGGGAGCCUGAGAAACGGCUACCACAUCCAAGGAUGGCAGCAGGCGCGCAAAUUACCCAAUCCCGACACGGGGAGGUAGUGACAAUAAAUAACAAUACCGGGCUCUUCGAGUCUGGUAAUUGGAAUGAGUACAAUCUAAAUCCCUUAACGAGGAUCAAUUGGAGGGCAAGUCUGAUGCCAGCAGCCGCGGUAAUUCCAGCUCCAAUAGCGUAUAUUUAAGUUGUUGCAGUUAAAAAGCUCGUAGUUGAACUUCGGGAUCAAUUAGUUGGUCAUGCCUUGGUAUGUACUGAUUUUAUUGGUUCUCACCUUCUAAAGAACUAUAAUGUCAUUUAUUUGAUGUUAUAGGGAAUUAGGACUGUUACCUUGAAAAAAUUAGAGUGUUUAAAGCAGGCUCACGCUUGAAUACAUUAGCAUGGAAUAAUGAAAUAGGACAUCGCAUUCUAUUUUGUUGGUUUCUAGGAUCGAUGUAAUGAUUAAUAGGGAUAGUUGGGGGCAUUGGUAUUCAAUUGUCAGAGGUGAAAUUCUUGGAUUUAUUGAAGACUAACUACUGCGAAAGCAUUUGCCAAGGAUGUUUUCAUUAAUCAAGAACGAAAGUUAGGGGAUCGAAGACGAUCAGAUACCGUCGUAGUCUUAACCAUAAACUAUGCCGACUAGGGAUCGGAUGAUGUUGAUUUUUUAAUGACUCAUUCGGCACCUUACGGGAAACC